rnacentral:tRNA from 1 species
GGAUGGGUGGCCGAGUGGUUUAAGGCAACGGUCUUGAAAACCGUCGUACUCGUAAGGGUACCGGGGGUUCGAAUCCCUCCCCAUCCGCCA